CCUACGGGUGGCAGCAGUGGGGAAUAUUGGACAAUGGGGGCAACCCUGAUCCAGCCAUGCCGCGUGUGUGAAGAAGGCCCUCGGGUUUUAAAGCACUUUCAGUGAGGAAGAACGCCUGGUGGUUAAUACCCAUCAGGAAAGACAUCACUCACAGAAGUAGCACCGGCUAACUCCGUGCCAGCAGCCGCGGUAAUACGGAGGGUGCGAGCGUUAAUCGGAAUUACUGGGCGUAAAGCGCGCGUAGGUGGCUUGAUAAGCCGGUUGUGAAAGCCCCGGGCUCAACCUGGGAACGGCAUCCGGAACUGUCAAGCUAGAGUGCAGGAGAGGAAGGUAGAAUUCCCGGUGUAGCGGUGAAAUGCGUAGAGAGCGGGAGGAAUACCAGUGGCGAAGGCGGCCUUCUGGACUGACACUGACACUGAGGUGCGAAAGCGUGGGUAGCAAACAGGAUUAGAUACCCUAGUAGUC
rnacentral:rRNA from 1 species